AGAGUUUGAUCCUGGCUCAGGAUGAACGCUGGCGGCGUGCUUAACACAUGCAAGUCGAACGAAGCGCUUAAGACAGAUCUUUUCGGAGUGAAGACUUUUGUGACUGAGUGGCGGACGGGUGAGUAACGCGUGGGUAACCUGCCUCAUAGAGGGGGACAACAGUUGGAAACGACUGCUAAUACCGCAUAGUAAGAAGGAUUCGCAUGUUUUCUUCUUGAAAGCUUUUGCGCUAUGAGAUGGACCCGCGUCUGAUUAGCUAGUUGGUAAGGUAACGGCUUACCAAGGCGACGAUCAGUAGCCGGCUUGAGAGAGUGAACGGCCACAUUGGGACUGAGACACGGCCUAGACUCCUACGGGAGGCAGCAGUGGGGAAUAUUGCACAAUGGGGGAAACCCUGAUGCAGCGACGCCGCGUGAGUGAAGAAGUAUUUCGGUAUGUAAAGCUCUAUCAGCAGGGAAGAUAAUGACGGUACCUGACUAAGAAGCCCCGGCUAACUACGUGCCAGCAGCCGCGGUAAUACGUAGGGGGCAAGCGUUAUCCGGAUUUACUGGGUGUAAAGGGUGCGUAGGUGGCAAGGCAAGUCAGAUGUGAAAGCCCGGGGCUCAACCCCGGUAUUGCAUUUGAAACUGUUUAGCUAGAGUGCAGGAGAGGUAAGUGGAAUUCCUAGUGUAGCGGUGAAAUGCGUAGAUAUUAGGAGGAACACCAGUGGCGAAGGCGGCUUACUGGACUGUAACUGACACUGAGGCACGAAAGCGUGGGGAGCAAACAGGAUUAGAUACCCUGGUAGUCCACGCCGUAACGAUGAAUACUAGGUGUCGGGGCCCACAGGGCUUCGGUGCCGCAGCAAACGCAUUAAGUAUUCCACCUGGGGAGUACGUUCGCAAGAAUGAAACUCAAAGGAAUUGACGGGGACCCGCACAAGCGGUGGAGCAUGUGGUUUAAUUCGAAGCAACGCGAAGAACCUUACCAAGUCUUGACAUCCUUCUGACCGUUCCUUAGUCGGAACUUCUCUUCGGAGCAGAAGUGACAGGUGGUGCAUGGUUGUCGUCAGCUCGUGUCGUGAGAUGCUGGGUUAAGUCCCGCAACGAGCGCAACCCUUAUCCUUAGUAGCCAGCGGUUCGGCCGGGCACUCUGGGGAGACUGCCGGAGAUAAUCCGGAGGAAGGUGGGGAUGACGUCAAAUCAUCAUGCCCCUUAUGACUUGGGCUACACACGUGCUACAAUGGUGGUAACAAAGUGAAGCGAACCUGUGAGGGUAAGCAAACCACAAAAAUGCCAUCUCAGUUCGGAUUGUAGUCUGCAACUCGACUACAUGAAGCUGGAAUCGCUAGUAAUCGCAGAUCAGAAUGUCGCGGUGAAUACGUUCCCGGGUCUUGUACACACCGCCCGUCACACCAUGGGAGUUGGUAACGCCCGAAGUCAGUGACCCAACCUUUUAGGAGGGAGCUGCCGAAGGCGGGACUGAUAACUGGGGUGAAGUCGUAACAAGGUA
rnacentral:rRNA from 1 species